UCAAGUUGUCCACCUUAUUGAGAAUUGCAAAAGCAGUGUCAACAAGACUUCUACUGGGAAGGGUUUAGCCAGUAAACUGGAGUGUCUGUUAACGAUUUCAAAUGUCCUGAGCCAAUGAGUGUUCUUCAGGAGCCGGAAUCUACUGAUAUUUACAGCCGCGCAAUAUUGGAUGAAGUCAGGACCCUUACUUUUGGCUAUGUACACAAAUUGAAGAUGAGGCUCUGAGCAAGUCCCAUUUCAGUGUUGCCUCGACCACCGCCCAUGCAGUAGCCCCAAGGAGAGUGUCACGGAUAAACCAUAGAAGCUGCGAGCAGUGCGUGGGACAACAGUCAGACGGUUGGUUUCAAGGUUGGCGCCGUCGUCAAGGAGGCUCAAGCAG